CACACUUUCGGACUUGACCGUGGGUUACAUUGUUACUCCUCAUGUGCUCAUUACUGGAAUAUCAUCAUACAUCCAUAGUAUCUAUGGCUCCUAAUUUCCAUUAAAUCCUGACAUACCUUUGUGGAUUUGAGCCUAUAACCCUAACUCUGACUCUACACUAAGAAAACAGUGCAACAAAGGACAGAGUAAAUGCAGUACUUCACAACUUCCUAAAGUUUUUGGAGAAAUGACAGAAGUGACUUUGUCUGUACAAAGUGCAAGCUGUUCUCCAUAUUGGAAGAGAAGGUUCAAGGUCUGGAAAAACAAGUAUCGACCCUGCGUUGCAUAAGAGAAACUGAAGAUUUCCUGGACAGAUGUCAGGAUACGCUUCUACGGGCACAAUGUUCUGAAGAUUCAGAGCAGGCUGUGCAGCGGGGACAGGAGGACGGUGAAGAAAAUUGACAGCAUGUGACCUCCAGAAGAAGAAAGGGGAGCAUCCAUGUACCAGCAGCGCAGAUACAGGAACGGCAGCCAACGGUCAGCAUAGAACUGGUUCAAACAGGUUCCAGCAGGAGAGCUGCCAGUUUUACCUCAGAACUUUGGCGCGCUUGUGGACCUGCUGCCUAGCUGCUGUCCGUCCUAGAGACAGCCAUGGUAUUGUUGUAUUUGCGCAGCAACGUGGACCAGAAGAUCAGCAUCUGAAGACAUCAGCAUUAAGAACUGAGACUGUGCUUACCAAUCUCUGAACUCCACAUCAUUUUCAGAGAAAGGUACAGAGGUCCUGUUGAUCGCUCACCCUCGAGUGAUCACAGAGCCAGGCCUCUCUUCAGCAUCAGCACAUCCUGUUGAUCUCCCGCUAAGAAGUGGUUGAGACCCAGGAUUCAUCAAUUGCCUGUGAUAACGGUUUAGUACCAUCUACUGCCUAUCGACACCUAGAAACACUGCAGUAUCUGGGGUAUUUUAUUUUAGGUUUAUUUGUUUAUUGCCAAGGUACCUAUUUGGUUGGGCCUGGGUUUUAGACCCAAACUGUCA